rnacentral:rRNA from 1 species
UACGGAGGGUGCGAGCGUUGUUCGGAUUUAUUGGGCGUAAAGCGCGUGUAGGCGGUUUCUUAAGUCUGAUGUGAAAGCCCCGGGCCCAACCUGGGAAGUGCAUUGGAUACUGGGAGACUUGAGUACGGGAGAGGGUAGUGGAAUUCCUAGUGUAGGAGUGAAAUCCGUAGAUAUUAGGAGGAACACCGGUGGCGAAGGCGGCUGCCUGGACCGAUACUGACGCUGAGACGCGAAAGCGUGGGUAGCAAACAGG